UACGGAGGGUGCAAACGUUGCUCGGAAUCAUUGGGCGUAAAGCACACGUAGGCGGUCCGGUAAGUCGGAUGUGAAAUCCCUCGGCUCAACCGAGGAAGUGCAUCCGAAACUGCCGGGCUUGAGUACGGAAGAGGGUCUCGGAAUUCCCGGUGUAGAGGUGAAAUUCGUAGAUAUCGGGAGGAACACCAGUGGCGAAGGCGGCGAUCUGGGGUCGAUACUGACGCUGAGGUGCGAAAAGCGUGGGGGAGCAAACAGG
rnacentral:rRNA from 1 species